CCUAGAUGACGCUGGCGGCGUGCUUAACACAUGCAAGUCGAACGAUGAUCCGGUGCUUGCAUCGGGGAUUAGUGGCGAACGGGUGAGUAACACGUGAGUAACCUGCCCUUGACUCUGGGAUAAGCCUGGGAAACUGGGUCUAAUACCGGAUACGACUGUCCCGCGCAUGCGGUGGUGGUGGAAAGCUUUUGCGGUUUUGGAUGGACUCGCGGCCUAUCAGCUUGUUGGUGGGGUAAUGGCCUACCAAGGCGACGACGGGUAGCCGGCCUGAGAGGGUGACCGGCCACACUGGGACUGAGACACGGCCCAGACUCCUACGGGAGGCAGCAGUGGGGAAUAUUGCACAAUGGGCGAAAGCCUGAUGCAGCGACGCCGCGUGAGGGAUGACGGCCUUCGGGUUGUAAACCUCUUUCAGUAGGGAAGAAGCGAAAGUGACGGUACCUGCAGAAGAAGCGCCGGCUAACUACGUGCCAGCAGCCGCGGUAAUACGUAGGGCGCAAGCGUUAUCCGGAAUUAUUGGGCGUAAAGAGCUCGUAGGCGGUUUGUCGCGUCUGCUGUGAAAGACCGGGGCUCAACUCCGGUUCUGCAGUGGGUACGGGCAGACUAGAGUGAUGUAGGGGAGACUGGAAUUCCUGGUGUAGCGGUGAAAUGCGCAGAUAUCAGGAGGAACACCGAUGGCGAAGGCAGGUCUCUGGGCAUUAACUGACGCUGAGGAGCGAAAGCAUGGGGAGCGAACAGGAUUAGAUACCCUGGUAGUCCAUGCCGUAAACGUUGGGCACUAGGUGUGGGGGACAUUCCACGUUUUCCGCGCCGUAGCUAACGCAUUAAGUGCCCCGCCUGGAGU
rnacentral:rRNA from 1 species